rnacentral:rRNA from 1 species
UAAUCCAGUAAGACCCCUUGAAGACGACGAGGUAGAUAGGGCAGAGGUGGAAGUGUGGUGACACAUGUAGCUGACUGUCACUAAUAGGUCGAGGGCUUGACCAAA